rnacentral:lncRNA from 1 species
CAGCAAACCAUAACUGUGCUAGAUGACAUAGUUUUGCCACAAUAUGCCCAGGAGUUGUUUAACAAUGGCUUGUCCUGUGCAAUAUACAGCGAACUGGCCCUGAUGGAUGAAAUUCCCAUUAUAGAAGAGAUUGUAACCAGGGCUACAAAUGAUGAACUUGAAAGACAAAAGUUGCAAUGGAACUGUGUAUGUGAGAAAUUGGGCCACCCACGAAACACACACCAGAAGAUAACCGUUGGUAUAAGACAGCUAAUAAACCAAAUGAAGGCAUGGAUGAAAGACAACGACUAUAUACUAACCAGAGAUGACAUAAC